ensembl:lncRNA
GAAAGAAAACCAACCUAAGGAAAGAGAGUCAGAAUAUUGAGUUAUAGGUUGUGUCUAGACAAGACAAAAACACACACAUAACCAUAAUAAUCAAAUGAUUGUGAAAUUGCUCAUUAGAGAGAGAAUACGGUUUUAAUAGAUAGCAUGUUGGGGUAGAAGUGAGGACAACCUGGGUUUGAAUCUCACCAUGGGUACUACUGAGUGACCCUGGGUAAGCUCUCUUAACUUUCCUUGUCUGUAAAAUGGGUGUAACAAUAGUACCCACCUCACAGGGUUAUUGUGAGGAUCAGCUGAGCUAAUUUGUGUAAAGUGCUUUGUAAACCUUGAAUCACUUAACUGUCACAGAUGAUGCUGAUGUGGGACUUUCUCUCCCUUCAUCCCCUACCCCAGCAGCUAUGGUCUGGGGUGUUGGUAUGUUAGUAGAAAGAACCACACGCUAGGAGUCCAUUUACCCCCAGGGGUUCAUGGUCUCCAACAUAGCUUUCAGAUGCCAGUGUCUCACAUUCCCAAGAAUCCAGACUGUUUUCCAUCUAUUCCUGUUGAGUAAGGGCACUCUCCCUCCUGAGCUUCCUUCCAGCCUAAACUCCUCUCCUCUCCCUUCCUUUUUCACAUUUCACAAUGAGGCCCCCAUUAAAUAUUCAUCAAAUGAAUGAAUGAACAACCUUUAGCCCCUUUCAUGUAACUGAAUUCAAUAGAAAGUCAUAAAACUACUCUUUCUUUAAAAAAAAACAACAAAAGGCAUUUCCGGAUCUAGAACAGGUCAUGUUCCAAAACUUUAUUCUUAAGUCAGUUUUUUUGUAAGUUUCCAGGCCCUUUUCUGCAUAGAAUUGGCCUUAACCAUUCUGUGGAGGUUCCCAGGCCAAUCAACAGAAGUCACCGCACUGAGCAUGUACACCAUUGUAGAAUACAAUCGCCUAUAGCACACAGAUCAUAGAAUGGUAGGGUUAGAAGGGACCUCAGUAUCUCGCUCAGUGCUGGGUACAAAGUAGCUAUUUGGAUACGGUGCUGAUGAGCAUAUUGAAAGGACAUGGAGCCAGGAGAUCUGUCCUCUGAGGACUUUCCAGGAUGUGACAUGCUCUCAGUCUAGGUUGGAUUUAUCAGCCCAACCCAAAGGUCCCAACAGAUUCAACAACCAAUAACAUCCAUUAAGCACCUAAUUAUAUAUAUAUAUAUAUAUAUUAUAUAUAUAUAUAUAUAUAUAUAUAUAUUAUAUAUAUAUAUAUAUAUAUAUAUAUAUAUAUAUAUAUAUAUAUAUAUAUAUAUAUGUAUAGCAUGGUGGUAGAUAUUUCAGUUUCCCCCAUUUGCAAGAUAUCAAUAAUACUAGCACCUACUUCACAGGGCUGCUGUGAGGAUCAAAUAAGAUAAUGUACAUAAAAAGCAUCUUAUCAAUGCUAGCUAUAAUGAUGAUUGUGGUAGUGGUAAUAGAGAGGUGGAUGACAGCAAUGGAGAGAUAGCGGGGGCAAAGACAGGAUGUUCAAGUCCUGUCUUUGACCCAUACUGGCUGCAUGACUCUGGACAAAUCGCUUAACCUUUCAGUGUCCCCACACAACUUUCUAAGACCAAGAUGCAUCGUUGUUUCUGAUCUACGCAGUAGAGGGAUUUUUUUUUCUUAUUUCUUUAAUCCCUCUCCAAAUCCCUUAUACCAGAGGUACCCAAACUUACUUGGCCUACUGCUCACUUAAAAAAAAAUUACUCAGUGCCCCCUUGGAAGUCUAUUUUCUUUAACUCUUUAAUGUUUUGGGCUUUUUUGAAAUUUGCAUCAUUUCAAAAAAAUAAAAUUUUUUAAAUGACUUCUCUUAAAUUUAAU